UACGUAGGGGGCGAGCGUUGUCCGGAUUUAUUGGGCGUAAAGAGCGUGUAGGCGGCCAGGUAGGUCCGUUGUGAAAACUCGAGGCUCAACCUCGAGACGUCGAUGGAAACCAUCUGGCUAGAGUCCGGAAGAGGAGAGUGGAAUUCCUGGUGUAGCGGUGAAAUGCGCAGAUAUCAGGAGGAACACCCGUGGCGAAGGCGGCUCUCUGGAACGCAACUGACGCUGAGACGCGAAAGCGUGGGGAGCGAACAGG
rnacentral:rRNA from 1 species